CAAGGAAUUUUCCCCAAUGGGCGCAAGCCUGAGGGAGCAACGCCGCGUGGAGGACGACGGCCUUCGGGUUGUAAACUCCUUUCGGGUGGGACGAUGCUGACGGUACCACCAGAAGCAGCCCCGGCUAACUCUGUGCCAGCAGCCGCGGUAAGACAGAGGGGGCAAGCGUUGUCCGGAGUUACUGGGCGUAAAGGGCGCGCAGGCGGUGGGCUGCGUCGGCGCUGAAAGCGCCCCGCUUAACGGGGCGAG
rnacentral:rRNA from 1 species